UCAACGGAACACCACCAGUAUACUUCAUAACAUCUGCGAGUGACGACACACACACCAACUCUUUAUCCUCUGGACACACCCUGCGAAAGCAGUAUCAGAUAGAUUUGCCUGUUGUGAGCGCCAUAACAAUAACCGAGCACUUGAAAACGCCUCAGGUUUUAUGCCAAAGACCACAGUUGCAUGAUUAAGGACG